GGGAGACUUCAUGAACACUGUGCUAACAAGUUGCAGAAUGAAUUCAAAACCCCCUCGGUUUUUGUGGGAGGGACCAAAGAUGGGAAAAGGAAGGGGUCAAGAUGACUUUUGAGCAAGUCUGGGAAACUGAUUUAGGGCAUAAAAGGGGCUGGUCGUGUGGCAACAGGUUGCUGGUGUGUGUUCUUGUCUGUUAACUCCAUUUCUUACCCUCUCCUGGCAGAAGGGACUCCAUUCUAUGUGCUUAUGUGCACAGAGGUCUAGUGGCCAGCAAUGGAAGAGUGAGGUGGUGUGUUGCUCUGUGAAUAGCAAGCUGGAUUUAGCCACCGAGUAGCACAAGGGGCCUGGGAGUCAGGCUACUCUGCUACCACUCAGGAAAGGAGUUCUGAGAGCUGUUCCAAUUCUGUGGGUAUUCAGCCUUGCUGCCCCUGUCCUCCCUGAGCAAGCAAAAAUACCAAUUUAACAGCAAAAGCAUAGAGCAAAACAUGAGGCAGCAGGGUAACGGCCUGGCUGGGGCUGGCUGCACUCACCGUUCAUGGGCAUCUCGUCUAUCUGGGUGGAGUAGUACUGCUCGAUGUCCCGCAGGAUGCGAAUGUCGUCGUUCUUCACAAAGUUGAUGGCGACACCUUUCCGGCCGUACCUGCCUGACCGGCCAAUUCUGUGGAGGCAGAUGGAGAGAGGGAAUGGAGCCACCUUGGGUAAGAGUCACCCAGCAGCACUCCCCCCUGCAAAGGCUCAAUGUACCUGUGUAUGUAGAGUUCUCUGUUGUUGGGCAAGUCGUAGUUAAUGAUCAGGGACACCUGGGGCACAUCCAGGCCUCUGGCCCAAACAUCUGUCGAAAUAAGGACUCGGCUGGAAAGAGAAGGGACAAUUAGGACUGUUCUACCCAACUGAGAAGGGGGUGAGAGCUGAGAACCCUUAGUCUCCAG